rnacentral:tRNA from 1 species
AGCGGGGUAGAGGAAUGGUCAACUCAUCAGACUCAUGAUCUGAAAACUGCAGGUUCGUUCCCGUCCUUCGCUU